UUUAAUUGAAAACAGUCACUUUUACAUUUUACGAAGCAUAUUAGUGGCUCGGCUUUGCAGAAAUCCACUCGAGCAGUCCUCGGGGGUGGGCAAAAGCAUAUGUCCGUUGUGAUUGGCUGGACCGCCUGUCAAUCAAACGGCCAACGAAGGGUCAAACGCUGGUUUAACGUUCCCAGAGUCGCACCUCCGAUCUUGAUGCGUUGUUUAGUAUCCUACACACCUUUUUCAUGAAAAAAGUAGAGAAAAUCUUGAUUUGAGUUUGUCUGAAAAGCAAGAUUGACACAUCGUGUUUUAAUUGCCGCAAUGCAUUGUGGGAAAUGCAUUCAAUUAGCUUUUUGAAGAAUUUUAAAUGCUAAUAACAAAUAUUUCAACCAUAAAAACAACCCCAUGUUGUAGUUAAACAUCUGGUUCUUCUGUGUAGGCAGUAAUUAGCGAAAGUUUAAAACAUGUCACCGUCCACAAGAAGUAAGCCUCAUAUGCGUACUAUAAAAAAUGGCUGAUGAUCUGGCGGUUAUUGGAUGUGUGGGAGGAGCUUGGUGUGGCUCGGGCGGGGCUACCUCUCAAGUGAGAUCCCAGAUCAUCCGUGUGCGCACACGGAUGAUCUGGCAGGCUCACAGCCCCGCGCUCCCAAACGAUCCCCCGAAGCUCGUACGCCGCCAUGGGAGAUGGACGUGUUUCCCUGGCGUACGGGUGGAGGCUUUUACUCAAUCUUUGCCCAAAACCUCACUAAUUAUUAAUAACUUGCACUAUGCACUUAUUCUGAUCCGCGAAUCACCUCAUCAAUUUCACAUCUGACACCAAAUCACACCUUGGACCCAUCACUUUAUUCAGCUAAACAGUAAAAUCACACUCAUCACUUUCAGCAGCCUAACAUGUCGUCCUGCAAUGAUGGCUGCUUAUUAGCAAUUAUAAACUUGGAAUUACAAACAUACAUUGUGUAUAAUAAAAGCAAACAGAUCAACAAAAAUUGCAUUUCACAGGACCAUUCACUCACCACGACCACUCUCUUGGCCGGCCGGCGGGCGCGAAUAGUAAUGACCUGUCCGGAACUACUUUAUAACAUGCCACCAGCCAAUGAACAGAGAGGGGGGUCAUUCAGAAUAAAGGGCCAUAUAAGAAAAGAAAGUGGAAACAUUUUUAAACCUGUUACCCCUAGCUGAGGCUGCUGGACUCACUCAUUUUAGAGCUUUUAUUACAACAAAUCAAACUACUAACACACAUUUAUACCGAAACAAAACCCGUGGCUCUGUGAACCCGCAUGUAGUAUGGUUUUUCAUGUAGUCAUCCUGACGGCUCAGUGGCUCAGUAAAAGGAGCGCACUCGCGCCGUCGCUUUGCAGUCACGAGGCACAGGGUUCGAGUCCCGCUCAAAGCAGUUUCUUUCCGGCUUGAAUUUGCACAUUCACCUCUUCCUCACCUUCCUUCAGCCACACUCUAAACACACGCUGUAAAGCUUUCUUUGUGUGUAAAUGAGAAGUAUGCAUGGUUUGAGAAGGGUAUUCCUGCACAACUGGAGUGGCUGCACUCUCAGGACCGCAUCUUUAGGACCCUAGUUUUUUGUGACAGCGUCACCUGUCGGAUUGGAUCAUGGAUGCGCUAAUGGACGACACGGAUGACAAGGAAAGUGCCAUCGUACAUGCUCUGGGUGUCUUGAGGAGCUGGUCUUUGGAUUAUGCUGAGCAGGUCUUUCUUUCUGGUAAAGAUUAUCAUUACAGGAGCUAAAGUCUACAGCCAGUCUGAAUGCAGCAACUGAAUAAACAGUGGGGUCAU